CCUAAGGUAGCGAAAUUCCUUGUCGGGUAAGUUCCGACCUGCACGAAUGGCGUAAUGAUGGCCAGGCUGUCUCCACCCGAGACUCAGUGAAAUUGAACUCGCUGUGAAGAUGCAGUGUACCCGCGGCAAGACGGAAAGACCCCGUGAACCUUUACUAUAGCUUGACACUGAACAUUGAGCCUUGAUGUGUAGGAUAGGUGGGAGGCUUUGAAGCGUGGACGCCAGUCUGCGUGGAGCCAACCUUGAAAUACCACCCUUUAAUGUUUGAUGUUCUAACGUUGGCCCCUUAUCGGGGUUGCGGACAGUGUCUGGUGGGUAGUUUGACUGGGGCGGUCUCCUCCCAAAGAGUAACGGAGGAGCACGAAGGUUAGCUAAUCCUGGUCGGACAUCAGGAGGUUAGUGCAAUGGCAUAAGCUAGCUUGACUGCGAGCGUGACGGCGCGAGCAGGUGCGAAAGCAGGUCAUAGUGAUCCGGUGGUUCUGAAUGGAAGGGCCAUCGCUCAACGGAUAAAAGGUACUCCGGGGAUAACAGGCUGAUACCGCCCAAGAGUUCAUAUCGACGGCGGUGUUUGGCACCUCGAUGUCGGCUCAUCACAUCCUGGGGCUGAAGUAGGUCCCAAGGGUAUGGCUGUUCGCCAUUUAAAGUGGUACGCGAGCUGGGUUUAGAACGUCGUGAGACAGUUCGGUCCCUAUCUGCCGUGGGCGCUGGAGAAUUGAGGGGGGCUGCUCCUAGUACGAGAGGACCGGAGUGGACGCAUCACUGGUGUUCGGGUUGUCAUGCCAAUGGCACUGCCCGGUAGCUAAAUGCGGAAGAGAUAAGUGCUGAAAGCAUCUAAGCACGAAACUUGCCCCGAGAUGAGUUCUCCCUGAGACUUUAAGUCUCCUGAAGGAACGUUGAAGACGACGACGUUGAUAGGCCGGGUGUGUAAGCGCAGCGAUGCGUUGAGCUAACCGGUACUAAUGAACCGUGAGGCUUAACCUU
rnacentral:rRNA from 1 species